ACGAAGGGUGCUAGCGUUGUUCGGAAUUACUGGGCGUAAAGCGCGCGUAGGCGGCGAUGCAAGUCAGAGGUGAAAUCCCCAGGCUCAACCUGGGAAUUGCCUUUGAAACUGCAUUGCUUGAGUGUCGGAGGGGAUAGCGGAAUUCCUAAUGUAGAGGUGAAAUUCGUAGAUAUUAGGAGGAACACCGGUGGCGAAGGCGGCGUUCUGGACUGUCUCUGACACUGAAUAACGAAAGCCAGGGGAGCAAACGGGA
rnacentral:rRNA from 1 species